rnacentral:rRNA from 1 species
UACAGAGGUCUCAAGCGUUUGUUCGGAUUCAUUGGGCGUAAAGGGUGCGUAGGUGGCGCGGUAAGUCGGGUGUGAAAUCUCGGAGCUUAACUCCGAAACUGCAUUCGAUACUGCCGUGCUUGAGGACUGGAGAGGAGACUGGAAUUUACGGUGUAGCGGUGAAAUGCGUAGAUAUCAGGAGGAACACCGGUGGCGAAGGCGGUUCUCUGGGCAUUACCUGACGCUGAGGAGCGAAAGUGUGGGGAGCGAACAGG